rnacentral:misc_RNA from 1 species
AAGACUAUAGACCUGCGGAGUACCUGCGGAAGGAUCAUUACAGAGUUGCAAAACUCCCUAAACCAUUGUGAACGUUACCUAAACCGUUGCUUCGGCGGGCGGCGCGCCCUCGCGCGCGCCCCUGGGCCCCACCGCGGGCGCCCGCCGGAGGUCACCAAACUCUUGAUAUUAAUUGGCCUCUCUGAGUCUUCUGUACUGAAUAAGUCAAAACUUUUAACAACGGAUCUCUAGAUCGGAAGA